CGCGGGGUGGAGCAGUCUGGUAGCUCGUCGGGCUCAUAACCCGGAGGUCGUCGGUUCAAAUCCGGCCCCCGCAACCA
rnacentral:tRNA from 1 species